rnacentral:misc_RNA from 1 species
UUCACUGUGUUAGCCAGGAUGGUCUCGAUCUCCUGACCUCAUGAUCCGCCCGCCUCGGCCUCCCAAAGUGCUGGGAUUACAGGCGUGAACCACCAUGCCCGGCCCAGAAUGUCCUUUCUUUUCGAAGCGGAGUAAUAUUCCAUUAUCACCUUUCAGAGGAGAAGAAUUUUAAAGAAUCCUGUCUGUUCGACAGGGAUUUAAGAGAGCAGUUAACUACUAUAGAUAAAGAAACACUUCAAGGAGCAGCUAAACCAGAUGCUCACUUUAGGACUAUGCCCUGCGGGCAGCUUCUGCACUUCCUGCAGAGGAACACCAUCAUCGCCGCCGUCUCAGGGGUGGCCAUCCUCAUGGCCAUCGUGCUGUUGCUGCUUGGGUUGGCCUCAUACAUCAGGAAGAAACAGCCAUCAUCUCCUCUGGCAAACACGACAUAUAAUAUUUUUAUAAUGGAUGGAAAGACAUGGUGGCACAAUUCUGAAGAAAAAAAUUUCACAAAACUUGCAAAAAAACAGAAACAGUUGAAGAGCAGCUCCUGUGUCUAAGCCAGGUCGUGGGGCCGUCAAACCAGGACUUGAAACCACAAUGCGAGGACAUUCUCCAUCUGCGCACCACAGGGAGGCAAUUCCAUUUCUGCCCGGGAGGUGUAUUCUACAAAAACGUCUGCUUCCCAUCCCAAUUUGAAUGGACCAAGAAAAACUGCUUUACCAUAGGACACUUGUGGCAAUAUGGCACCGAUGGCUGGCGUCGGUGAACCCGACAGACUAUGGAUUUAUCAUUUAAU